GAUGAACGCUGGCGGCGUGCUUUACACAUGCAAGUCGAACGAUGAAGCCCAGCUUGCUGGGUGGAUUAGUGGCGAACGGGUGAGUAACACGUGAGUAACCUGCCCUUAACUCUGGGAUAAGCCUGGGAAACUGGGUCUAAUACCGGAUAGGAGCGUCCACCGCAUGGUGGGUGUUGGAAAGAUUUAUCGGUUUUGGAUGGACUCGCGGCCUAUCAGCUUGUUGGUGAGGUAAUGGCUCACCAAGGCGACGACGGGUAGCCGGCCUGAGAGGGUGACCGGCCACACUGGGACUGAGACACGGCCCAGACUCCUACGGGAGGCAGCAGUGGGGAAUAUUGCACAAUGGGCGCAAGCCUGAUGCAGCGACGCCGCGUGAGGGAUGACGGCCUUCGGGUUGUAAACCUCUUUCAGUAGGGAAGAAGCGAAAGUGACGGUACCUGCAGAAGAAGCACCGGCUAACUACGUG
rnacentral:rRNA from 1 species